UAAAAAUGUCAAUAUUUCCAUUCUUGGGAAAAUUCUUGAAAGGAGAAAAACAUUUACAUCGCAAUUCUUUAUAAAAGGAAUGUAUUUCUGAAUUACCAGGUCUACAGUAAACCAUACUAAAUAAAAAUAAGCACAGUUGUCAAGAGAAACAAAUGUAAAAUACAUUUCCUUAGGACUAGUAUUCCUUGUGGCAUGGUAGAUUUGUGAUAAUUUUGUUAUUGACUUGACAGGUAAAUCAGCACGACAAGAUCGCCCGGUCAGUAAAGUUGUCCUCGUCUAUUUCUUGGGAGGUUGUACUCACUCUGAAAUAGCGGCCCUCCGAUUCCUCGGUAAACUCCAAGGUUACGUCUUCAUCAUAUCCACCACAGCAAUCAUCAACAGCGCCACCAUGCUGGAGUCUGAGAGACCACCCAUAUAAUUCAUCGUCAUAUAGAUUAUCGUUUUAUAGUUAAUCAUUUUUGUCAUAUAAUUUAUCAUCGUCAUUUAGACUGUUAUUUUUGUCAGUAACUGUAUUUAAAGGAAGUGAACAUGAAAAAAAUAUUUGUUGCAUAAUAAAUUUAAAAGACCUCCUGAAACUGAAUAGUGUGACCUCAAUCUAAUUUGCUUGUUCCUAUUACGAGAUUUGAUCAAUUAAAAACUCUAAGUUAAAGGUUUAUGGAGGUCAUCCAUUAUUUCCCAGUAUGCAUCUGUGCUCUGACGUAGAUGAGACACAUUGCUGUUGUUGACUGGGUCACUAUUAUACAGCAGAAAUUUAUGGAUUCACAUUAGAAUUGAUGGAUAAGGUUUUGGAGCAAAAAGAAUUGAAAUCAAAUCUAAUUACAAUGUAUUAAAAAAAAAGAAGAAGAAAACACUCCCACAAAAUAUCUCCAGCUACUCCAACUUCUGAACUUACUCAGAAGCACUAGUACUGUUAUAUUUCAAGAUUCCAAAUCAAUUAAUUUUAUUAGAUUUUAAAAUAUUUGGAGAUAAUUAAGGUGACUGUGUCAUAAAAGUACUGCAAUAUAGGCAUAUAAAUUAUAUAUUUUAUAAUAAUUGAUGUACGUGGACCACAGAUAAUUUCGGAGAUGCAAUUUACAGUUAUAUUAUUUAUUUACACUAAUAAAAAUUACUUAUUCAGAAUCUGUAUCAAAGUCUGAGGUUUUAAGAAAUCCUUUAUAAUUGCAGUGCUCUUUAGGAAAUGCUCCCUUAAUUUAUGUCACAACAAAUGAGAGUAAAUUAAAACUACUCUGAUUUCCCCUAGAGGCUGAUCGCGUCUGACCUAUUUGAUAAACUGUCUGUAGGCCAUAAAUCUUGAUAGCAUGCCUGCAACAGAAUUGUUACUGUAUUCUAUCACGUGUGUGUGUGUGUGUGUGUGUGUGUGUGUGUGUGUGUAAUUGGAAAUAUUUACACACAAAUGCCAUGUUAUGUUUAGAUUUUAAUACAUGUGAAUACAGAAGGUAUAUUUCA